rnacentral:rRNA from 1 species
GACGAACGCUGGCGGCGUGCUUAACACAUGCAAGUCGAACGGAAAGGCCCUGCUUUUGUGGGGUGCUCGAGUGGCGAACGGGUGAGUAACACGUGAGUAACCUGCCCUUGACUUUGGGAUAACUUCAGGAAACUGGGGCUAUACCGGAUAGGAGCUCCUGCUGCAUGGGGGGGGUUGGAAAGUUUCGGCGGUUGGGGAUGGACUCGCGGCUUAUCAGCUUGUUGGUGGGGUAGUGGCUUACCAAGGCUUUGACGGGUAGCCGGCCUGAGAGGGUGACCGGCCACAUUGGGACUGAGAUACGGCCCAGACUCCUACGGGAGGCAGCAGUGGGGAAUAUUGCACAAUGGGCGGAAGCCUGAUGCAGCAACGCCGCGUGCGGGAUGACGGCCUUCGGGUUGUAAACCGCUUUCGCCUGUGACGAAGCGUGAGUGACGGUAAUGGGUAAAGAAGCACCGGCUAACUACGUG